rnacentral:rRNA from 1 species
UACGAGUGCCCCAAGCGUUAUCCGGAAUCAUUGGGCGUAAAGGGUGUGUAGGCGGUUGUGUUAGUCUUUUGUUAAAUUCUUCGGCUUAACCGGGGGCAUGCAAAGGAAACGGCACAACUAGAGGAUGCGAGAGGUGAAUGGAACUCAUGGAGUAGGGGUGAAAUCCGUUGAUAUCAUGGGGAACACCAAAAGCGAAGGCAAUUCACUGGCGCACUCCUGACGCUGAGACACGAAAGCGUAGGUAGCGAAUGGG